rnacentral:misc_RNA from 1 species
GAGAUUUUAGGAAGUCUUCCAGAAUUACUAACGCAUUGGGUAACACCAUGAGGAUAAUUACUCGUCGACGCGUCAAAGUUCGCGUGACGGUGCGCAGAGGGGAUGGGAGUGUAACGAGCCACGGCUGGGCAUACCAUAGAAAGCGGGAAGAGGAGGAGGAGGAGGAGAGAAAACAUAGUGACGAGAAAACGGAUGCAGGGGGAGGAGGAGAAACUAUAGUGGAACCAGAAGGAGUGACUAUAAGUACUCCUACUACUCUUACCACUGCACAAGAUGAUGUAGCUUCCGAAGGUGUUCAUUAUGAGUCGGUAUGUGCUGAUAGAGAUUUUAAUAUCGAGUUAGAAGAACAUGCCGAUUACGAAGGUAGCAAAGAUAGGGUGUAUGAGAGCAUAGAUAAAGAUUCCGACAGGGUGUACGAAGAGGUCGGACGAAAGGGUCUGAGAGUGCGCUUUGAGGGAGAGGAGGAAGACGGCGAGAGAGCCAGGGAGAGUAGCGGCGGCCUCCACCUGACGGGAGCCAUUCCGAAACGUGGCAAGGUAUCUCCGGAGAGUGAUGAGCGCGAGGGGGGCAAGGAUGGCGAGGAGAUGGAGCAUAACGGCGACGGAGAGUUGUACGAAUCGAUAGAGGAAGUUCAAGGCGCCCCGAAAGCAGCCCCUGAGGUGAAAUGCGACGAAACGGGGAAGGAAAGCGAAACGUACGUCUACGACUACGACACGCCAAGGAAGAUCGAGGUAACCGUGACGUCAGAUAGGGAAGGGAGCGGCACCGGAAAAGGCAAUCGAGAUGAAGGAUCGAAGCCCAAGAAAAGGGGAAAAGUAGAAGUGAAAUUCGAACCGUGGCAGACGGAAGGAAGCGGGAAGAGGGCGAAAGUCGAGCAUUAUAGAGACAGUGAUGACAAGGUGUGUGUGGAACAGAGCACGAAACUCUCUUAUUACAACAGAGAGCGGUCUCCCCAGGCGAAAGGCGGAAAGGCAGCGAGUUCGCCCUAUAGUGUCCGCCACUCUUCAGAUAUUAAAGUUAGUACUGAAAAUUUGUCGGAUGACGUGAAAGAAAACGGGGAAAGUUCCAACGGCGACAGCGCCAAGGAGGAAAGUCCCAAAGGCGCAAAGCAAGAAGAGAGGAAAGACGGCGACGAGAACGAAGGAGACGUUGACGCAGAGGGUUUCGAGGGCGACGGGGAGGAGGAGACCUACCAGCGUGGGCGGCGGAGGGUGAAAAAGAGGACGCUGAUAAGAGUGCGAGGAGUGGGUGUGGAGAAAGACGAGGACCUGGACGCCGCCCACGCGCUGGUCAGGAGCUUCUCCAAGACAGUCGUCACUUUCGGAAGAGAUAGUGGUAGUUCCAGCGAGCGGCCGACAGAGGUCAGGACCGAGGACUCGACGCCUCACACAGAAAAAUCAGAGGAUUCAGAAACAUCAGUCUUCAUCUUAGAAACGCAUGGUGCUGACCCUGAUAUCUUGAGGACCGACCUAGAUCACGGAGCAGCAGGCCGCGACGUCACAGACACGGAAGAGUCACCCCCGAAAGCCGACGAGUCGAAGGAUACAGAAAGGCGAUUCAGUCGAGAUUCGAACGAGACUGACGAAGGCGAUUACGCCGAGAUUGGAUCCCAGACUGACACCUCCACAGACACGCUAGUGUUCGAUGUGUCUCAGAACGAUUUAGAUGCGACCUACACGGAGGAGAACUCAAGGGGAACGAGUGUAGAAUUUGAUCAGGCAACAGGAGCCUAUAUUGAAUAUCCGAACGAAGCCUCAGACGACGAAUCUCUCAAACGAAGCCAGUCUGAGGAGGAUUACAGCUCUUUAGGAGAAAACGAUUCAUUUUUCGUAAACUUCGAAGAGGAGCUAGAGAGAGUGGAGCAACAAUUUCCGCAAUUGGAAGCCAAACACUUGCUCUCAGAAGGAGCAGAGGAACAAGAAGCAGAGGAAGGUGUUGUGUGGGUGUGCGAGGUGGUAGAAGGGAGCAGUACGUGUUUUACGAUUGACGAAGAGGCAGAAGAAGAAGAGAAUCCCGCACCACAAAUCGGGAAACUGGAUUCCACGAUGGGACAAUAUUACUCCAGUGCCUCUGGGGGAGACCCCUCCAGAGGCGAUAUCUCCGGGUCUUUACCUUCGUCUCCCCGGUCGUCUGAAGGAUGGAGAAUGUCCAUGGCUUCUACAGCAACAGCGGCUUCAACCGCUACUGCAAAUUCUGAUGAUACCCUUGCCAAAGAUAUGUCAGAGCUGUCGUCGAUUAAUUCACGUCUGUCAUAUCUCGAUGAAGGACAGGACGAUGUCAAGGUCCCGUCAUUGAACCAAAACACAGACCUGGAUGUGAUCCCUAAAGAGACCCCACACCCCGACCACACUCGACAAACAAGCAUCAAAGACGCCAUUGAUGAGCUAGAGAGCAUUGAACAGGCGGCUCAGACGCUGCUGCUGAAGCGGCAGUGUAGCGACGACGAGCGUGCCACCCCCGUCCCAGGCGACGCAUGCUCCGUAAUGCCAUCAAACGAGAAAUUCUCUCUCUCCGAUCAACAGCAUGUUACAGAACUCUUAAGCACUGAGGUUAGACAGGUUUAUGAAUCUAAAUCAGCUGACAACAUGACAGUAAAGGUUGACUCGAAAAUUAUUUACGAAAAUUCCAACAAAUCUGAAAGGUAUGUAUGUGUAGAUAAAUGUGAGGGCUCAAUUCCCUCGGAGAAUGUACACGAGAACGACAAGUAUACAAAAGAGGAAAAAGUUUCUGUAAUUAUAUCUGAGGACAAGCCUCCCCUCCCUCCAACAGCUGGCAGUCAGCCACCAAAAGUCGAAGUGAAACGUCGCUGGUUUUCACGGUCUAAGGAAAUUCAGCCAUACAUAUCUCGCGAGUCCUAUAACAAUGAUAAAAUAUUCAAGGAAUUGGAGAGGCUGCGCCGGAGCUUCCAAGAGAGCGAUCUCAAUGACUUCUUAGAUACCCUCGAAAACACUGCCAUUCCGGACGAUAUGGACGAGGCUUUUCUGCGACAGCUUCUUCUCGACAUCCGAGAGGACGUCGAGGGCCCGGCCCCCGUGGUCGAAGGAGACGCUCAGCUGAUGGAAGAUACCGAAAUCAUCGAGGCUGAGGCUGCAACGCCUGAAGCCGAAGCAGAAGCUACUGCCGAAAUAGCGCCCCGCCAGUCAGCCACAGGAGGCAAGUUCGAAAAGGUAAAGGAAAGGAUUUUGGAAAUGAUUAAAGUGCGGAAGAAGGAUAAAAGCAAAGACGGAGAUGAUGCUGAAACACUGAACCUGCAGAAGGAAGAUUCAGUGUCAAACGAUUUUCUUAAGGAUGAUUCCAGCCGCUCUGAGACCCCGCAGAUUAGCCGAUCCAUCACUCCUCAGUCUCUGCGGCCUGACACCCCAGACUCUAAAUCAAGCAGACCGCAUACACCAGAUACCUCAAAAGGAGAUGAAUCAAAGAAAGGUUUCAACAUCGCCGAAUUUCUCAAGAAAGGAUCACCGAAAUAUCUCCGAAAGAAAUAUAAGGAACGAAAGAAUCGUAAAUCCGACGUACUGACGACUUCUGAGAGCGAAAGUGAAGAUGCAGAAGGAUAUAGAAAAGAUGUGAAAUACUCAAAUAAUUCGUCCUUAUCACAGAAGAAAACGAUACUAACUGAGAGUCAAUCAAGCCUGAAGGGAAGCAAUCGAUCUCUCACCGCUUCCCAGGAACUUAAGAAGGAAGUGAGGUUUGAUCUCAACACCGACCCUCAGAGGAAAGGCAGCGACGAAUCCAAAGACUCGAAAAUAGAACCUGUAAAACCAAUAAUCGUGGACGAGAAAGCGAAGGACUCUCCCAGGCUCUCAGGGCCACAGAUGAUCACAUGUGAAGCUCAGCAGCAGGAAACAGUCAUCCUCAAAGAAUUUGAAGAGACUACGCAGGAAAUGGAAAAUGACUAUAUCCUUAAUCUUCCCUCAACCGUCGAGGACAUUAACACGCGAGCAGAGAAUUUGCUGCCCAGACUUCCCGAGCGAGCCAAGCCUCCAAGAAGAAGAAAGAAGUUGAUACCUGCGCCCGUCGAGGAGCUAAGCGCUGACUUGCAGUCCGAAACGACCUCUACGACCUCCGUUGAGUCGGUCAAGGAGAUCCGCGCCGAAAGUCUGAAGGUAAAUGCAGCGCUCAAGGACGAAUCUCCUCCGCCUUUACCUCCUUAUGAUGAAGUUACAGAGCUUCAGACGUGCACACCCACGUACAUACAAGUUGUUGAAACGACUCGCCACCCCGAGGACGUCGCAGAAAUAGUGGAGGAAAUAACAGAAAGCAUAGAAAUAACAGAGAGAAGGGUGAAAGUUCCUCCUCCACCGGUAGCUACGACUGCAGCUUCAUCUGCUACAGUUAUCAACGAAAUCAUCAUUCUUAAUUCUGAAGCUCCAGCCUCCGUAGCGUCUACGGCAGACAGCCAUUACAGCGAUGGUCUUGUGGAUCCGAUACCAGUGACCUCCGUGGCAACAAUAUCCGUUGCACCUGUCCCGGAGACAGCUGUGGUGGUAAUGUACCCUCCAAGGACGCUACCGCUUCCCGUGAUUCAGGAAUCUCUAAAUGAGGAUCAGGUGUCCCUCCCGACUCCUAGCGAACCAACGUUGUCCUUCAGUACUCUAACCUCGAGUGCCACGACGCCCUUAGAUGGUGAUAACAACGAAUCUUUUUACGAUAAUGCAAAUCCAUUUGAAGAGUUUCAAGAGGAGGAAGACAAGACCCUCUCACUUCAGCCGAAUGCAGCUGAAACUGUCGUCGGGCCCGAAUCACCACAGGAAACCAUAGUUAUAGAGACUGAAAAUAAAGUAGAGAUUUCUGAAACGGUUGAACAAACAAGCAAAGAAUUUACAAAGGCAGAAAAAACUAAUUUCCAAGAUCAUUUCCAAGAUGAUAGUCUGAACUCGCAGAUUAUUGAAGUUACCCCUCAAAUUUCGGAACCUCUAGUCGAGGAAGCGAAUACUAAAGUAAUUCCGCCUGAGUCACCUGAAGGGGUAAUAAUACCUGAAGAGGUAAAGGUAGAUAAUGAGAAAGGGCCCGAAGCAAAGUCAGAAACAAAGCCUGAAGGAAAGCUGGAAGCAAUCUCUGAAACAGAGCCGGAAAUAAACUCUGAAACAAAGCCUGAAGCAAAGCCUGAAGCAAAACCGGAAGCAAAGCCUGAAGCAAAGCCUGAAACAAAGCCUGAAGCAAAGUCUGAAACAAAGCCUGAAGCAAAGUCUGAAACAAAGCCUGAAGCACCUAAAGAAGAGACAAAACACGUGAUAAUAGAGUCGUCUGUGGUGGAAGAAACAACAGAAUUGAAGUCGGAGACUAGUUGCACGAAAGUUGAAGAUAUAAAAAAUAAACAGCUGACAGAUUCUCGGCAGGAAGCUUGCAAGAGCCCUGAAUUAGAGAAACAUGAAAUAGCUGAUAUUGAUACUCUUGCUGCCUUGACAGCUGAGAUGUUUAAAUUCGCGAAUGAAGAUGAAUCUAACAAAACGCAAAAGCAAGAUAAGGUAUUAGAAUCAAUCGUCGCCAUCAAUAGAUCAGAUAACAUAUCUUCUGACGCGGCCUCUCAGAAGGACUCCGCCGUUUCCGAGACACCGACAGCAGAAACAAAAGACACGAGCACCGCCACAGAAACGAAAGAGAUGAUUACCCAGACGGAGCAAGAUGCAACUCCUCGAGCGAAAUCUGUAAAGGACAUGGUAAUGAGCAACACGAUUGCCAUCCAGACAGACGCCACGCGUUACGUGCGUAUGUACGAAGCGGCUUCCCAGACGGACACCGAAUAUGAGACAGACCUGGAAACCGAGUCCGAAUUAGAGGAGAAUGCCUCAGGACGCUACGACGCCAGCAAGUGGCUCUUCAGGCCCACGAACGACGCCAAGACGAUGGAUCCGCAGCUGCAAGAGUUACACAAACAACAGCAGAUGAUGAUCCAGGAGCUCCAGCAACAGAGCGUCAUGCAGCAGCAAAAGGUGAAGAAAGCCCCCGAAGUUCCUCCGCGGCAAUUUCAGCAAAAGAUGCCCAUGAAGGUGGUGGAGGAGCUGAAGACUGUCCUCGCAGAGAACGGAGACGAUGCCACACGGCUGAAGAAGACCGCCGAUCCUCCCCCCCGAUGGGACUCGGAUCUCACUUGGGAGAACGCCUUACAGGAGCUCGGCUUGGAUGAAUCGACUCUGCUGAACGAGAUCGAACAGAUUCUCGGCUUCGGUUCGCUCUCGUCCAAGAGUCGAACGGAUAGUCAGUCCCAGAACGAGCUCACGUCCUCCCACCCGGAUCCGGUCGCCAAAGGGCAUAAGUUGGGGAAGUCUCGGAGCGAAGAAGCCCCCCUUGUGCCCGGGAGGGAUUCGAGCAAAGGAGUGUGGUCACCUGGAAGGACAGACGAUAAGGAAUCUUCUGGUCCCUCCAAGAUCGAUGUCCCUGACCUUCCAUCAUUCAAGGAUCAACCCACAGUCUGGAGUCCUAGCAGAGGAAAGACACCAACACCUGCACGAAGCCCAUACACGAGAUCCGACUACGCAGGAUAUCCUCAUCGCGUAACCCGAGACGAUGAAAUAGAUAUUAAGUAUCUCGAAGGUCUUUUUCGGUCACUGUUUUCACCCAACCAAUUUGAGCGAGCUGGUAGCGCGAGCCCGAGUCUGGGACGAAAAGAGUACCGGAAGAUCACAUACGAAGGCACUCUGCAGAAACGGCCGUCGCAGGAGAAUGUCACAACCCCACGCCCCGAGGACAGCUUCGCCUGGAAGGACAGAGAGAUCGAGAGGGCGCUGAAAUCUCCCACGUCAACGCUGCCGAAGGUGCAGAACCCGACGGUCACGCUCCUGCAGAAGAAACGAGAUGACCCGCAUUCGACCUCAGAUGGACAGAUUCCUGGAAAGCGGCCAGAAUACCUGAAGGGUGAUGAGUAUGGUCCUGCUUAUAAGCCUGAAGAUAAGUUGUACACCAUCAAGAGAGAGUACGAGUCAGAGGACGAGGAAGGCAGCCGCCGCUUUGCUGUCUUAGGGCCCAAGAAGGUACAUGGUGUUGGCCCAACCACCAACGACGGAGUUCCUACCACCCUUAAAUCGGGUGUGAAGUCUGAACACCAAGGAGAGUGGUAUCGCAGGAUGUUUGAUUCUCUACAUAAAGUUAAAGAUGACGAUCACGUCAUCAUCAAAUACAAAUGCCCACGAGCCCGCUACGGGGGCUACAUGUCGGAGCCCGAAGGCUACGACUCCGACGUGGGUUCCUCGCGCUACGCCACCCUCGACCGCCGCCGCAUGCACCACUUCGAUGCCGACCCCAUGAGCUCCAGCCUGCCAAGAGACUACCUCGCAGAUUUGGAUCCUUUCUUCAGGAAUUCGAACCGCUACGUCCACCAGCCGGGGCGCAUAGAGGACUACGUGCCAGGGCAUUCCUCGCUCUCGGAGAAGGAGCAUAAGAAGAACCCGGAGGCUGAAAUUAAACUCGAGGCCAAGUCUCAGGAGCCCCCGCCGGUGUCCGUCAACCACAGGCUCGGGUCGCAGAAGAUGUCAAUGACCCAUGCCCUGAAGGAAUCCGGAUACGAGAGCGAUAGCACGUUGGUGUUCCGUAAGCGAGAGGACGCUCGCCGUCAGCCCCCCGACCCGAGGAAGACCAGCCAGGUGUACCGUCAGAUCCAGCGCGGCGGCGACAUCCCACUGACCGGCUUGCAGAAGAGCGCCCCUCCGAAGCAGAAAGAACCGCUGAUCGGCCCGCUGCCCUUCCCGUACCUGGCGGGGGCUCAUCAACACCCUCCCAGACGUCCAGAAUCCCCUUACAAGUACGAGUCCGGGGAGGUGAACAUCCAUUACCGAACGCCCGUGAGGAUUGAGCAGAAGGAGGCGAUUCCCGAAGAGGAGCUCGCCCGCCGCCAGGAGGAACACAUGAAGAAGGUGUACGAGCAAGAGCGACGCAAGAAGUACCUGGCCGAGCUGGAAGACAUCGAGCGCAGGAGACACACCGACAACUUCACACCUCUUCAGAAAUCUCCUAUUCCCUUGAACCGUUAUGAUGAUGAGAGUAGCCUGGGUACUUUGCGGGGUAACAGAACUCCAGAGCCAAAGCAGGUUGCAAAGGCACUCUACAAUUUCACUGCACAAAACAAGAGGGAGCUAACAUUUAAUAAGGGUGAUGUGAUUUUCAUCCGUCGGUCAAUAGACAAGAAUUGGUUUGAAGGAGAGUUGCGUGGAUCCGUUGGUAUUUUCCCAUGCAACUAUGUAGAGAUUGUGCCUUAUGAUCACAUGAAAACCCUGACAAGAAAACCAACUGAAGGACAAGCAAGAGCGAGAUUUAAUUUCCAAGCCCAGACUUCCAUGGAGAUGUCCCUCAGCAAAGGGGAGCUGGUUGUUCUGACCCGCCGAGUCGAUGAGAACUGGUAUGAAGGUCGAAUAGGCGCUCGCAAGGGUAUUUUCCCUGUCUCCUAUGUAGACACCCUGGUGGAGCCAGGUCCUGACAGACCUUGGUCGGCCAGGAAGCCAAAAUGAUUCCAGACCCUACAACCAAUCCCUCACCGUCAACACUCAGCAAGAGCCAGUUGCAUAUCGAGCACUCUACAACUAUAAGCCCCAGAAUGACGACGAGCUUGAGCUUCUGGAAGGAGAUGUGGUGCUAGUGAUGGAGAAGUGCGAUGACGGCUGGUUCGUAGGCACUUCCCGCAGGACCGGUCUCUUUGGCACCUUCCCCGGCAACUAUGUGGAAAGGAUCUGAAAGAACAAGAAGAAGCAAGAGAACUUGAGAGCAAGGGAUUUUUAUGCCUGAUUCAUUGGUUGAAUUAUCGUUUUGCAUUACCAUUCUGUCUUGUUUGUAGGGGCCUCUGGAAUUAUUUGGUAUGGGAGACCUUAUUUUUUUCUUUUUAUGUUAUGUAAACUCACCUUUUUAAGUGUGGAAGACCUGAGGGUAAUGUAGGAUGAGAUUCUGGAUUAUUUAGAAUAUUUUAAGACCCAGUAGACAUCAGUGAAUUUUUUAAUUUAGACUGGAAAAGAGAUAUUCAUACUUUUUAAAAAGUUUUCAGGGUAAUUCCAAAUAAUCCAGGAUCUAAAGUGUGAAAUUGAGGUCCUUGUUACUGAAUACUGAAGGGCAGAAAAUUUAUAUCUGUUAAUUAUGUACAGUGAACGAGUGAUUUAUCCAUACAUUGAAUUACUAGUUUAUAGAUAUCAGUGAAAGAAAAUGGCAAGUUUUGCUUACAAGAUCUAAUUUUGUGCCAAUACAAUAUGAAUAAUGUUGUUGAAAAUUCUGUAACAUCGCAAAAGAUUAUUUUUGUGACAAUUAUUUUCAGCUGCACAGACAAUCUUAUUUUGUUGUUUAUAACUUUGACAGAUCAUGAAUACCAGUGUCCCAUACACAAAUGUGUAUAAAUAUUGUUGUGUGUUAUGAAACCUAUUUCCUUGUCCAAGAAGAAAAUGGGGUAAACUACGUCCAGGUUUUGUGCAUAAGGCCUGUUGGUGCUGAAAUAUACCAUUUUAGCCUUUGCAGUUGUGUAUAUCAGAAAUAACAUAUAUAUAUGUGUCUCAUUUCUUCAUGUGGAUACAAAAGAUAGCUGUCCUUCAGUAUAGAGGCUCAUUCUUGUCAAAAUGUUUGGUAGUGAACACAAUAUGAGAAUCAUUUCAGGUUUUUGCACGUGUCUAGUCACACCCAAAGUGAAUUUAUUAAAAGAAAUUAUGUAGAUGUCUUGUUACCCUCUGCUGGUGCUUUCUUCUGAUGUAAUGAUCUGUUAUGAAAUAAUAAGUAGAAGUUUGUGGAGCAAAAGUGACCUGUUUAAUUUAUGGAGAUUAUUUCAUGGUUAAUGAUUUGCUCUAGAAACUUUGCAUUAUAUGCACGAUUUCCAGAUUUAUUCUUUUUUUUAUCUAAAAUGUAAUAAGUGCUUUCCUAAUACUACUCUUGUCUUUAUUGCCUCACUUUUCUGUUUCCUUUUUUCUUUUUACUUAAUUCACCUCAUUUUAGGCAUGAUAGAUAUUGGAGUGAAUAUGAAUAAUUUAAGACAUAAUGCCUUUCUCAAAUGUUAAAAAAUAAUGUUAAAUCUAUGCCUCGUUAGCUGUAAUCAUUCUCCAAAUUAGAUUAUAUGACUAAGUAUGUUAAAAAAAAUCAUCUCUGUAAAAAGAUUGGAUACUGUUCUACUAUAAAGGGAUGACAGAGGAUUCAUUUUGGUGGCAAAAGAAUAGCACUUGUUUUGAACGAAGGUGUGUGAAUCACCAACCUUUUUUGAUAUUUAAUGUAAUUUUACAUUUAAGAAAGUCAUUUUUUAUAAUUCCCAUUUUUAUAUUGAGAAGGUUAAACUGCAAAUGGACUCUUGCCUGUGUGUUUAGAUAUUUUCUGUUAUGUCACUGAAAUUCAUCUUAACAUUUCUGUUUUCUGAUGGGAGACAACAAGGCAGUGUGGUCAAAGAGAGUGUGGUCCUUCAUAUAUGACGAAGCAUUUAGGUUCGUACAAACUUUUAUAAGCAGACAUUUUCCAUCCAGGUUAAAGUUAGUAAAAUAGCCUUGCUUACUCAGCCUGUGCUGUGUUUAAGUAAUAAGAAAUCGGCCUGUGCUUCGUCUGUUUUAUAUGAACUCGGCCUGUGCUUCCGUAUUUAUCUUCCUCCUGUUACAGCCAAUAUUUUAUUAUCAUGGUUAAGUGCUGUUAGCAUUUAAGAGUUCUCUAGUUUAGCAAAAACAAAAAACAAAUUAUCUUUGUAUUUAUUACACCAAAAAAUCUAAUUCAGAUUAAUAAAAUGUUUGCUUGUGUUGUUAAAUCUGAUAUGCUCAACAAUUAUGAGUCUGUCUUGGUAUACUUUACUGAGAGACUCCACUUCCUGAGUGAUGAUGAGACUCAUAAUUGCUAAACAUACCAUUUUUUUUAAUAAUAGACUUUAGUUUAACAAGGCACACUACACUAAAUAGGUAGAAUUAAUGCUGGAAAGCGAAUGAGUUUUGCCUUUACAGAUAUUAUAUUACAAAUUUCAGAGUUGUAAAAUCAAGUGCCUUUUCAUGGUAGAGAAUGUAAUGUUUAGAUCAAAGGAGUUUGCCAGUAGCUGUCUUACCUCACAAUGCAUUAUUUACAUUUUAGCCCUGUGUCCCCUUAAAAAAUAUAUUAAUAAAAAAAGGUUGUCUAAUGUCACCAAUCUGAAUCGCAAAAAAAAUAUAUAUGAAAAGGGGUAAUUGUGGGCUUCUUCACUUCUGUAUAAUUCUUUCCUGUUGUUAUGCACAAUUUACUUUAGCUAAUCAUGUAGGUAUAUGAUAAUAAAAUGGAACAAUAA